rnacentral:lncRNA from 1 species
GUCAAAACUGUGAUUCCCCUUAGUAUUUUAGGCAGUUUUAUAUUUAUUGUAUUUCUGUAACAGUUUUAUAUUUAUUGUACUUCUGUAACAGUUGUAUCUUGUUAUUAUUAGGUUUAUGUAUUUAGGAUCAAUCCCAUAAUGACAGGGAUCUGUUUUCCCUGGCUCAUGUAUAUAUAUAUAGGUCCAGUGACCUCAUAAUAAAAUAUGAAAAGAAUAUUAUUCCUUCUAAAUUUAAGAUGGUAUCAGAGCUCCUGAUCCUUGGGAGCCUCUGACCGUGCCUGUAAACCCUAAGUUGCAGCCUUCAUUGCUGCGCCACCUUUAAGCAUUGUUGCAGCCUUCAUUGCAGCGCAACCCUCCGUGCCUGUAAACCCUAAGUUGCAGCCUUCAUUGCUGCGCCACCUUUAAGCAUUGUUGCAGCCUUCAUUGCAGCGCAACCCUCCGUGCCUGUAAACCCUAAGUUGCAGCCUUCAUUGCUGCGCCACCUUUAAGCAUUGUUGCAGCCUUCAUUGCAGCGCAACCCUCCGUGCCUGUAAACCCUAAGUUGCAGCCUUCAUUGCUGCGCUACCUUUAAGCAUUGUUGCAGCCUUCAUUGCAGCGCAACCCUCCGUGCCUGUAAACCCUAAGUUGCAGCCUUCAUUGCUGCGCUACCUUUAAGCAUUGUUGCAGCCUUCAUUGCAGCGCAACCCUCCGUGCCUGUAAACCCUAAGUUGCAGCCUUCAUUGCUGCGCUACCUUUAAGCAUUGUUGCAGCCUUCAUUGCAGCGCAACCCUCCGUGCCUGUAAACCCUAAGUUGCAGCCUUCAUUGCUGCGCCACCUUUAAGCAUUGUUGCAGCCUUCAUUGCAGCGCAACCCUCCGUGCCUGUAAACCCUAAGUUGCAGCCUUCAUUGCUGCGCUACCUUUAAGCAUUGUUGCAGCCUUCAUUGCAGCGCAACCCUCCGUGCCUGUAAACCCUAAGUUGCAGCCUUCAUUGCUGCGCUACCUUUAAGCAUUGUUGCAGCCUUCAUUGCAGCGCAACCCUCCGUGCCUGUAAACCCUAAGUUGCAGCCUUCAUUGCUGCGCUACCUUUAAGCAUUGUUGCAGCCUUCAUUGCAGCGCAACCCUCCGUGCCUGUAAACCCUAAGUUGCAGCCUUCAUUGCUGCGCCACCUUUAAGCAUUGUUGCAGCCUUCAUUGCAGCGCAACCCUCCGUGCCUGUAAACCCUAAGUUGCAGCCUUCAUUGCUGCGCUACCUUUAAGCAUUGUUGCAGCCUUCAUUGCAGCGCAACCCUCCGUGCCUGUAAACCCUAAGUUGCAGCCUUCAUUGCUGCGCUACCUUUAAGCAUUGUUGCAGCCUUCAUUGCAGCGCAACCCUCCGUGCCUGUAAACCCUAAGUUGCAGCCUUCAUUGCUGCGCUACCUUUAAGCAUUGUUGCAGCCUUCAUUGCAGCGCAACCCUCCGUGCCUGUAAACCCUAAGUUGCAGCCUUCAUUGCUGCGCCACCUUUAAGCAUUGUUGCAGCCUUCAUUGCAGCGCAACCCUCCGUGCCUGUAAACCCUAAGUUGCAGCCUUCAUUGCUGCGCUACCUUUAAGCAUUGUUGCAGCCUUCAUUGCAGCGCAACCCUCCGUGCCUGUAAACCCUAAGUUGCAGCCUUCAUUGCUGCGCUACCUUUAAGCAUUGUUGCAGCCUUCAUUGCAGCGCAACCCUCCGUGCCUGUAAACCCUAAGUUGCAGCCUUCAUUGCUGCGCUACCUUUAAGCAUUGUUGCAGCCUUCAUUGCAGCGCAACCCUCCGUGCCUGUAAACCCUAAGUUGCAGCCUUCAUUGCUGCGCCACCUUUAAGCAUUGUUGCAGCCUUCAUUGCAGCGCAACCCUCCGUGCCUGUAAACCCUAAGUUGCAGCCUUCAUUGCUGCGCUACCUUUAAGCAUUGUUGCAGCCUUCAUUGCAGCGCAACCCUCCGUGCCUGUAAACCCUAAGUUGCAGCCUUCAUUGCUGCGCUACCUUUAAGCAUUGUUGCAGCCUUCAUUGCAGCGCAACCCUCCGUGCCUGUAAACCCUAAGUUGCAGCCUUCAUUGCUGCGCUACCUUUAAGCAUUGUUGCAGCCUUCAUUGCAGCGCAACCCUCCGUGCCUGUAAACCCUAAGUUGCAGCCUUCAUUGCUGCGCCACCUUUAAGCAUUGUUGCAGCCUUCAUUGCAGCGCAACCCUCCGUGCCUGUAAACCCUAAGUUGCAGCCUUCAUUGCUGCGCUACCUUUAAGCAUUGUUGCAGCCUUCAUUGCAGCGCAACCCUCCGUGCCUGUAAACCCUAAGUUGCAGCCUUCAUUGCUGCGCUACCUUUAAGCAUUGUUGCAGCCUUCAUUGCAGCGCAACCCUCCGUGCCUGUAAACCCUAAGUUGCAGCCUUCAUUGCUGCGCUACCUUUAAGCAUUGUUGCAGCCUUCAUUGCAGCGCAACCCUCCGUGCCUGUAAACCCUAAGUUGCAGCCUUCAUUGCUGCGCCACCUUUAAGCAUUGUUGCAGCCUUCAUUGCAGCGCAACCCUCCGUGCCUGUAAACCCUAAGUUGCAGCCUUCAUUGCUGCGCUACCUUUAAGCAUUGUUGCAGCCUUCAUUGCAGCGCAACCCUCCGUGCCUGUAAACCCUAAGUUGCAGCCUUCAUUGCUGCGCUACCUUUAAGCAUUGUUGCAGCCUUCAUUGCAGCGCAACCCUCCGUGCCUGUAAACCCUAAGUUGCAGCCUUCAUUGCUGCGCUACCUUUAAGCAUUGUUGCAGCCUUCAUUGCAGCGCAACCCUCCGUGCCUGUAAACCCUAAGUUGCAGCCUUCAUUGCUGCGCCACCUUUAAGCAUUGUUGCAGCCUUCAUUGCAGCGCAACCCUCCGUGCCUGUAAACCCUAAGUUGCAGCCUUCAUUGCUGCGCUACCUUUAAGCAUUGUUGCAGCCUUCAUUGCAGCGCAACCCUCCGUGCCUGUAAACCCUAAGUUGCAGCCUUCAUUGCUGCGCUACCUUUAAGCAUUGUUGCAGCCUUCAUUGCAGCGCAACCCUCCGUGCCUGUAAACCCUAAGUUGCAGCCUUCAUUGCUGCGCUACCUUUAAGCAUUGUUGCAGCCUUCAUUGCAGCGCAACCCUCCGUGCCUGUAAACCCUAAGUUGCAGCCUUCAUUGCUGCGCCACCUUUAAGCAUUGUUGCAGCCUUCAUUGCAGCGCAACCCUCCGUGCCUGUAAACCCUAAGUUGCAGCCUUCAUUGCUGCGCUACCUUUAAGCAUUGUUGCAGCCUUCAUUGCAGCGCAACCCUCCGUGCCUGUAAACCCUAAGUUGCAGCCUUCAUUGCUGCGCUACCUUUAAGCAUUGUUGCAGCCUUCAUUGCAGCGCAACCCUCCGUGCCUGUAAACCCUAAGUUGCAGCCUUCAUUGCUGCGCUACCUUUAAGCAUUGUUGCAGCCUUCAUUGCAGCGCAACCCUCCGUGCCUGUAAACCCUAAGUUGCAGCCUUCAUUGCUGCGCCACCUUUAAGCAUUGUUGCAGCCUUCAUUGCAGCGCAACCCUCCGUGCCUGUAAACCCUAAGUUGCAGCCUUCAUUGCUGCGCUACCUUUAAGCAUUGUUGCAGCCUUCAUUGCAGCGCAACCCUCCGUGCCUGUAAACCCUAAGUUGCAGCCUUCAUUGCUGCGCUACCUUUAAGCAUUGUUGCAGCCUUCAUUGCAGCGCAACCCUCCGUGCCUGUAAACCCUAAGUUGCAGCCUUCAUUGCUGCGCUACCUUUAAGCAUUGUUGCAGCCUUCAUUGCAGCGCAACCCUCCGUGCCUGUAAACCCUAAGUUGCAGCCUUCAUUGCUGCGCCACCUUUAAGCAUUGUUGCAGCCUUCAUUGCAGCGCAACCCUCCGUGCCUGUAAACCCUAAGUUGCAGCCUUCAUUGCUGCGCUACCUUUAAGCAUUGUUGCAGCCUUCAUUGCAGCGCAACCCUCCGUGCCUGUAAACCCUAAGUUGCAGCCUUCAUUGCUGCGCUACCUUUAAGCAUUGUUGCAGCCUUCAUUGCAGCGCAACCCUCCGUGCCUGUAAACCCUAAGUUGCAGCCUUCAUUGCUGCGCUACCUUUAAGCAUUGUUGCAGCCUUCAUUGCAGCGCAACCCUCCGUGCCUGUAAACCCUAAGUUGCAGCCUUCAUUGCUGCGCCACCUUUAAGCAUUGUUGCAGCCUUCAUUGCAGCGCAACCCUCCGUGCCUGUAAACCCUAAGUUGCAGCCUUCAUUGCUGCGCUACCUUUAAGCAUUGUUGCAGCCUUCAUUGCAGCGCAACCCUCCGUGCCUGUAAACCCUAAGUUGCAGCCUUCAUUGCUGCGCUACCUUUAAGCAUUGUUGCAGCCUUCAUUGCAGCGCAACCCUCCGUGCCUGUAAACCCUAAGUUGCAGCCUUCAUUGCUGCGCUACCUUUAAGCAUUGUUGCAGCCUUCAUUGCAGCGCAACCCUCCGUGCCUGUAAACCCUAAGUUGCAGCCUUCAUUGCUGCGCCACCUUUAAGCAUUGUUGCAGCCUUCAUUGCAGCGCAACCCUCCGUGCCUGUAAACCCUAAGUUGCAGCCUUCAUUGCUGCGCUACCUUUAAGCAUUGUUGCAGCCUUCAUUGCAGCGCAACCCUCCGUGCCUGUAAACCCUAAGUUGCAGCCUUCAUUGCUGCGCUACCUUUAAGCAUUGUUGCAGCCUUCAUUGCAGCGCAACCCUCCGUGCCUGUAAACCCUAAGUUGCAGCCUUCAUUGCUGCGCUACCUUUAAGCAUUGUUGCAGCCUUCAUUGCAGCGGAAGAUCAACUACUGGAUACUGCACCUUCCUUGGUGGAAAUCUAGUAACUUGGAAGAGCAAAAAACAAAGUGUAGUAGCUAGAUCGAGUGCUGAAGCAGAAUUUCGAGCAAUGGCCCACGGAAUAUGUGAACUUCUAUGGCUAAAGAUUAUAUUGGAAGACUUGAAGAUAAGGUGGAAUGAACCUAUGAGGUUAUAUUGUGACAAUAAAUCUGCAAUUAGUAUAGCCCACAACCCGGUGCAACAUGAUAGAACUAAACAUAUAGAGGUUGACAGACACUUUAUCAAGGAAAAACUAGACAGUGGCAUGAUUUGCACACCAUAUGUAUCCACUCAGAAUCAACUUGCAGACAUACUCACCAAGGGGCUGAACUGCAUUAACUUUGAAGGAAUUAUAUCCAAGCUGGGAAUGGAAAACACCUAUUCACCAGCUUGAGGGGGAGUGUCAAAACUGUGAUUCCCCUUAGUAUUUUAGGCAGUUUUAUAUUUAUUGUAUUUCUGUAACAGUUUUAUAUUUAUUGUACUUCUGUAACAGUUGUAUCUUGUUAUUAUUAGGUUUAUGUAUUUAGGAUCAAUCCCAUAAUGACAGGGAUCUGUUUUCCCUGGCUCAUGUAUAUAUAUAUAGGUCCAGUGACCUCAUAAUAAAAUAUGAAAAGAAUAUUAUUCCUUCUAAA